CUACGUGCCAGCAGCCGCGGUAAUACGUAGGGUGCGAGCGUUAAUCGGAAUUACUGGGCGUAAAGCGAGCGCAGACGGUUACUUAAGCAGGAUGUGAAAUCCCCGGGCUCAACCUGGGAACUGCGUUCUGAACUGGGUAGCUAGAGUAUGUCAGAGGGGGGUAGAAUUCCACGUGUAGCAGUGAAAUGCGUAGAGAUGUGGAGGAAUACCGAUGGCGAAGGCAGCCCCCUGGGAUAAUACUGACGUUCAUGCUCGAAAGCGUGGGUAGCAAACAGGAUUAGAUACCCUGGUAGUCCACGCCCUAAACGAUGUCGAUUAGCUGUUGGGCAGCUUGACUGCUUAGUAGCGUAGCUAACGCGUGAAAUCGACCGCCUGGGGAGUACGGUCGCAAGAUUAAAACUCAAAGGAAUUGACAGGGACCCGCACAAGCGGUGGAUGAUGUGGAUUAAUUCGAUGCAACGCGAAGAACCUUACCUGG
rnacentral:rRNA from 1 species